GAUGAACGCUGGCGGCGUGCUUAACACAUGCAAGUCGAACGAAACACCUUAUUUGAUUUUCUUCGGAACUGAAGAUUUGGUGAUUGAGUGGCGGACGGGUGAGUAACGCGUGGGUAACCUGCCCUGUACAGGGGGAUAACAGUCAGAAAUGACUGCUAAUACCGCAUAAGACCACAGCACCGCAUGGUGCAGGGGUAAAAACUCCGGUGGUACAAGAUGGACCCGCGUCUGAUUAGCUGGUUGGUGAGGUAACGGCUCACCAAGGCGACGAUCAGUAGCCGGCUUGAGAGAGUGAACGGCCACAUUGGGACUGAGACACGGCCCAAACUCCUACGGGAGGCAGCAGUGGGGAAUAUUGCACAAUGGGGGAAACCCUGAUGCAGCGACGCCGCGUGAGUGAAGAAGUAUCUCGGUAUGUAAAGCUCUAUCAGCAGGGAAAAAAAUGACGGUACCUGACUAAGAAGCCCCGGCUAACUACGUGCCAGCAGCCGCGGUAAUACGUAGGGGGCAAGCGUUAUCCGGAAUUACUGGGUGUAAAGGGUGCGUAGGUGGUAUGGCAAGUCAGAAGUGAAAACCCAGGGCUUAACUCUGGGACUGCUUUUGAAACUGUCAGACUAGAGUGCAGGAGAGGUAAGCGGAAUUCCUAGUGUAGCGGUGAAAUGCGUAGAUAUUAGGAGGAACAUCAGUGGCGAAGGCGGCUUACUGGACUGAAACUGACACUGAGGCACGAAAGCGUGGGGAGCAAACAGGAUUAGAUACCCUGGUAGUCCACGCCGUAA
rnacentral:rRNA from 1 species